rnacentral:rRNA from 1 species
GACGAACGCUGGCGGCGUGCCUAAUACAUGCCAGUUGAGCGCUGAAGGUUGGUACUUGUACCAACUGGAUGAGCAGCGAACGGGUGAGUAACGCGUGGGGAAUCUGCCUUUGAGCGGGGGACAACAUUUGGAAACGAAUGCUAAUACCGCAUAAAAACUUUAAACACAAGUUUUAAGUUUGAAAGAUGCAAUUGCAUCACUCAAAGAUGAUCCCGCGUUGUAUUAGCUAGUUGGUGAGGUAAAGGCUCACCAAGGCGAUGAUACAUAGCCGACCUGAGGGGGUGAUCGGCCACAUUGGGACUGAGACACGGCCCAAACUCCUACGGGAGGCAGCAGUAGGGAAUCUUCGGCAAUGGACGAAAGUCUGACCGAGCAACGCCGCGUGAGUGAAGAAGGUUUUCGGAUCGUAAAACUCUGUUGGUAGAGAAGAACGUUGGUGAGAGUGGAAAGCUCAUCAAGUGACGGUAACUACCCAGAAAGGGACGGCUAACUACGUG